AUAGCCAUGGGCGUUUGGCGGAUCGUGACUUGUUAGGGCGAUCUGACAGUUCCUUCUCGUUGUCUCGUCGCGACGUAAUAGCGGGAGUGCCGCGUAAAGUAGUGUCGGGCGAUCUCGUUGUAGGUAUCUUUCGGUGAUCGAUGCGCGAGCGAUCGUAACCUUUCCUUCCGCGAGUGUGAAUCCGUGUGCCUGGAGCAACGACAUGGCGUAGCGGGGGAGGAGGAGAGGCGGCCCGGAGAGGCAUCGGGCAACGGCGGAGCAACCCCGAGAUCAACGUUCCUGUUAUAACUCCGCUGCUGCGCAUCGUUUGAUAACCGGGAGCGAAUAAAAGCACCAUUGAGCACCAUUCAGACUUUUCCGGUCUCGCAGUUUUAUUGAUAGUAUGUUUCACUGCGAAAUUGCAUUAAGCAACCUACGCUGUUAAAAGUGCACGCCGAUAAUAAAGGAGCCGCCGCUAGUUCUUGGUCGAAGUGGAUGAAGGGUGAUAAAGCGAAAUGAGAAUCAUCACGUGGAUGAAAGCGACGCGGCUCAGAUCGGCUCAGCUCGGCUCGGCUUGAUUCGGUACCACCUGAUAGGGGAGAAUCAGAAUCAGGGCAGAUCAAAGCGACCGGAGCGAUACGUAGCACGUCGAAAUUGAUGGAGAACGCUUUACGUUAGCGAAUUGCGAGUCUCGUAGAGUCGGAGCGGCGCAGAACUGAUGGCGAGACGAUGGCGAUGGAGGAGGGAACGAAGAGGAGCAGCGAGGGCGGACAGAAAAGACUAAGUCGAUUUUAAUUUAACCGGAGGACAAAUUAAAAGGCAUCAAUCCGGAGGGCAAAGUGCUGCGGAGGAUUAACAGUUGGCUCUCAAGGCUCUAAGAGGAGCGACGGGAUAACGACAGGCCCUUCGAGUGAAACGACGGCCGUAUACCUAAUUCGCUCGGCCCUUGGUCUACCAAACGGGAGGUAGUCUUUCAGUUCACUGUACUCAAAGACGCACGUGCUGCACCUACAAAUGAGAGACGUUAGCAGCUCGCGGUUUUGAUUCCACGACUCGAGCGGGUUCUCCUUGCCUCAAAACACACGCGGAUACGUGCGGAUACGUGCACGAGAAUGGGAGGAGAGAAAACGCGUGUGCUCUUUUCAGGCGAGAGACCAGCGUCGCCCUCCCACCUCUGUAUAACUGACGUUUCAUGAAUUGGAAAUGUAAUUUUACCACCCAGCCGUGGCUCGCGGCGUCGUAACUGUUUGCAUGAUACCCAGGGCGCGAAGUAAACGAGCGCAUAAUUUCAGCCGCGAACACGUCCGCGGGGCCCGGCAGCCCGGGAGGUGCCAAAGAGUAUAUUUCGCCGUGUGCCGGGUGACAGCGCGCGUAAUCGCGAUCACCGUGCUUUCUACCUCAACGCGCGUUUCCCCUGAAAGAUUGCUCUCGACGCUCGUCUCAUCCUCGCUCACGAUUAUUAAUCCUUCGCAAGGCA